CUUGGCACCCCUUACGCCUUACGGUGGCCGCUGCGCCCAGUCACAUCUAUUGCAUUUCUCUGGAAUGACCACAGCAAUAUUUCCAGCCCUUGAUGAUCUUCUAGAACUUUGCCACUUCCCUGCAUCAAGAGAGCCAUGGAGAAGAGGAGACAGAGUGUGCAAGGGAAUGAAGAAAAGGAACAAGACUAUUUUCAAAUCACCCAUGGCACUACUAGAAAUGUAUUUCAGCAAAAGGACUGGCUGAUUUUAUGAUUCCUGUGUCCACCACAGCCCUCUAAUUUUUACAUAGGUACCCCACAUCUCUCUAGAUUUCAGGAAGACUAUUAUCCUUCGACUUUAGCUUUCUGAUGGGUUCACAAAAAGCCAUUAGUGUGCUGUUGGUCCAGCUUUUUUCUGUUGCAAAUAUGAGAGCUACAGUUCUGAGAUGAAACCACAGAUGAGGAAAUUAAGGAGUCAAAGG
rnacentral:lncRNA from 10 species